rnacentral:rRNA from 1 species
UACGUAGGUGGCAAGCGUUAUCCGGAUUUAUUGGGCGUAAAGGGAACGCAGGCGGUCUUUUAAGUCUGAUGUGAAAGCCUUCGGCUUAACCGGAGUAGUGCAUUGGAAACUGGGAGACUUGAGUGCAGAAGAGGAGAGUGGAACUCCAUGUUUAGCGGUGAAAUGCGUAGAUAUAUGGAAGAACACCAGUGGCGAAAGCGGCUCUCUGGUCUGUAACUGACGCUGAGGUUCGAAAGCGUGGGUAGCAAACAGG